rnacentral:lncRNA from 1 species
UAUCAAAACUAUAAACUAUUUUGAUUUGGCUAUUCAGCUUUUUAAAAUUUUGAUUUGAUUUGAGUUAGUCAACAAUACUUUGACUUUAAAAUUAGAAUGCGGUAUUUAUCUUUACAUAUCUAAGUAGUAUACUUUAUAUAAUUUUGGCAACUAUGAAUUCGUUGGAGUAAGUAAUUAGCAUACUUUUAAAGUUACAAUAUCGUUGAAUAACUCAAAUCAAAAAAAUUAUAAAGCUGGAUAGUAAAAUCAAAAUUUUGAAAGGUUGGGUAGCUAAUUCACAGUGAUCCGUUAUUCAGGUAAUUUUUGUAUAUCUUUACCAAAUUUUUUCUUAGUUUUUGCUGUAAAAUAUGAUAUGAAAUUAGUGUUUCAUUAUGUCAUUUUAUCAUAAGUGUACUUGUUGUGCGAAGGUAAUGUGAAAUAAAAAUAAAAAUAAAAAUUCACCAAUGGUAUCAGCUGGGUACGCAUGUCAACAUAUCGGAUUUGGGGCGAAUUUUUAAAAACCUGAACGUGAACCCGACUCCAAAUCCAAGACCCGAACUAGAAUCCGAACUAGACGGAUUUUAAAAAUCCAUAUCCAAAUCCGAACUCGGCCGAAAAUCCGAAACCCGAACCCGAAAAUUCUGAAACAAUUAUUAUUAUUUUUCAAUAAGUCAAAAUAUAUUAUAUUAAAUCUAAAUUUUUAAAACACAAAUUCAAAUAUAAUAUCAAAUUUUUAUAUAUAUUAUAUAUAAUUCAAAAUAAAUUCGGAUUCGGGUCUGAUUAGGGUUUGGGUUGGGUACAGUCAAAAUCCAUAUCCGAAUUUAUAUCCGUCGAGUUUUUAUUUUUGAUAUCCAUAUCCGAAUCCAUAUCAGCUUAGUAUUGAAUAUAUCCGCUCCAUUCGGAUUCGGAUUCAGAUA